ensembl:lncRNA
GUGGUUUUCUUAAUCAGUUAAUUGGUUGCAUCUGGUGCGUUUCACUUAAAAGGACGUGUGUGUACUGUUCUAUUUCAUUCCUAGGUCUGUUGUGACUUAUUUGACAUCUCUUCCUGUUUCACAGGUUAAAGACUUUUUGAAGUAAAGAGGAGCAUCUCAUCUGAACCUGAUGUCUAUCAUGGAUUUUUAACUACAGUUCUGUGAGUAUCCCAACUUAACCAUGAAGAUGAACUGCAAACUGUAAGUCAUUCAUUUCUAAUUACUCUUGGGCACAUUGAUGUAUUUUGGCUUCCUGGUGAGUUAACCCGUUACCUGAAGGUUGAUCUGAGUAGGAAGGAUGUUUUAUUGGUUCAUGGGUUACUUAGGUGUUUGGUUUAUGUUGGUUUUAAUGAUUUGUUAAAAUGGUUAUAGGCUCCAAGAUAUUGUUGUAAGCUGGAGUAAUGGGUUGGGUUCUGAUAUCUUCAGUCUUUUUUCCAGCUACUCUCCUGAGCUCUGCCUCUUCAGCGUUGCUUUACUAAUGAGGGUGUGGUCUGAGUGUACAGAGGUGCAUACUGGGAUACAGAGCUGUCUGAAGUCUACAGGUCUGUAGACACGCCCCCCUCAGGGGAAACCUAGUGUUUGAGAAACCGUCCUGACGUCAGUUACAUGGACUAGAAUGUUCUUUAAGAUGGAGACAGGGAUUCAGAAGGAGAAACCCCAGUGGGAGAUGAGGGGGCUCCUCAUCUCAACGACUAAAACACAACUUCAGUCUGACACAGAGAAUCAUGGAACACAUUCAACAAUCCCCUCCAGGCAUCGUGACUCCUCAGGAACAGUUUCAUUUCCAAGAAGGUCUUAUUUGGGGCCAUCCCCAGAUGGAUCCUGCUCCUCAAGAGCCACCCCCCCCCUCCACUGGGUGGUCUUCUGAACAGAUGACCUCCUUCCUGUCCUCAGGCUGACUAAAGCUGCACCGUUUGCAUCUGUGAAGGCCCCUCAAUCAGGAAACCACUGGACUACAAAGACAUGACUUCAGAGACGUUGAAUCAACCUUGGACACAUUUUGGAGACGCCAAGCAUAAUCCAUCACCAAUGUGGGACGCCACUGAAGAAUGUUGUACAUAAUUCACGUCUCUGGAGACAUUGGUUGUUCUGUUCUGGGUGCCCUGGCAAGAGAGCUAUGGGUGGAUGAUGGAAUGUUAUUUGGCAUGAGGUUUUUACCCUGCAUGAUUGUUUGGCCUUUUAUGGCUCAGUGGUGUGUGUGUUCCAUUGGUUUGACAUGAGAUGGAUGAUUUUUAAACAUCGCUAUGGUUCUACUGUGUGUGUGUGUGUCUCCCAUCACACCUGGCAUGGGGUUCUACGUGCGUGUCCUGGGUUCUGUGUGUAUCCGGCUUGCUUUGACAGUGAUAAUGUUCAUACGGGGUCUGUGUGAUUGGCUUGGGAUAUUGGAAUGGUCAAAUAAAUCAUACCUGAUGGUCGGCCGGCUAUACGUUUACUUAAGGGUCUCCUGAGCGACGCUCCGGAGCGAUAUCAACACACUGGGCAGGAAGGAGAGUAUCCAACUCAAGUGUAAAAGGAUGCAAGCGGCGUGUUCAGAUCAGUGACUUCAAACUAGGACUACACCAAUCAGGAUCAAUGGAGGAUGGACACCUAAAGGCAUUCCACAAGGACUCUGAAGUUGGAAAGGGACCUCAAUGGAUGUUCAAGAUGACCUGUAAUGAGACGGCUCUUCCUACCUGGCUGGAUUGAUGGAGAGCCCUGCGGAUCUUGUCUUGCUCUCAGUUGCACGUCUGCUCAGGCUGAACUGUAUUUGUUUCGGACAGGACUAGCUGAACUAUUGUUUCCCUCAAAUCAGAACCAAUCUGGGAACUCAACAACUAGUGCGCGCUUCGAGCUGAAGUUGUGCUCUUCAGCUGAGGAGGUAAGGGAACCUUCACUGGGGCUUCAAGGUGUAAAGAGGAGAAUGUUUCAAAGUGUUCCAUGGUACUCUGAUGAGGACCGUUGUGUUCCACUGGCUGAGAGGAAGAACCCUCACAUCUUCCUCUUGGCCUUUCUCCUCUGAGAAUCCUGGCGCCAUCUUGAAGGAUAUUCCAGCUCAUGCAACUGAUGUCAUGACAGAUUCUCAAACACUUGGUUUCUCCUGAGGGCCGUGUCUACAGAACUGAAGACUUGAGACGGCACUGUAUCCCAGCAUGCAUCUCUGCUCACUCAGACCACACCCCCAUGAGUAGGAUGCAACAUUCUAGUGAUGGAGAUGUAGAGUUUUAUAAGUAAUGAGGGAGCAGACAAAGGUGAUUAGAGGCAUGUCAAGUCUGUAAAUCUUUAAAUCAUGAAGAUGGUUGGAUAGUUCAGGAAUUGGGCUUCUAUUUAUUAUGAGCAGUCCUUUCGCUCAGAUGGCCACCUCUCACUGGACCUGUACAUGUGUUGGCUGGCAUGAUUUGCUGUUGGUGAUGAGGCGGUCAAGGUGACGUUGCAGGGCUAUGGUCGGCUCUCUGUGAGCUCAACGUUUAGAUUUGCUCUGUAUGGUUUGUACCCUGAAUAAUCUAGAUAAUUGUAAAAUGUAGACACGGUUUUGUAUUGAAUGAUUCCAUUGUUCUUAGGCAAGGAUUUGAGGUUUAAAGUUGUUGUGGGACGUACAUGGUAGUUAGCUUUGUACAGUUUUGAGUGAUAUAACAUGUACACACUGGGUGCAUAAUAAUGUAAUGUUACACUGAAUAGUAGUACCAACAGCAACAAACAGAUCUCCUCAAGGUAAGUCUGUUGGCUGUGUUUUAAUGAAGACCAUCGCUGGACUUCAGGAUCUUCCUCCGUCCAGCUCAAGGUGAGGCGCUGGUUCUGUUUUUUCUUUGGUUGGUUCCGGCAGGAAUGUUCGGAUUCCUGUCGGACGGUUUGUGCUUCCCGCCGGGAAGUUUCUGAGUGCGGUCACUUGAUUUAGUCCCAAUGGUUAGCAUCGAACGUUGUAGUCUUGACAACCAAAACCAGAAACCACCUGGCAGUUAGUUGGACGGGAGUCCCCUGAGGGAAUCUGGCGGAACGUUCUGGAUUGUAUUUGCGUAACCACGAGCCGUUGCCAACGAAAAAAAAUUUUUCAGUCGGUUUCCAUUGGGAAUUGUGCCACCUUAUCUUAAACAACUUAAGUUUGAUAUUAAAUACAUACUGACACGUACGUUGUACAAUGUGUUAAUUUUCGAUGGUUGCGCCGUACUUUCAACCACGUUGACGGGACUCUCGCUGCGUACGAAACGGCCUUCUACUUGCGGGUCCAUUUUUGACAUCAGUGAAGGCUGAAAAUCUUUUCAAGGCGGAAGACAAUUUGACAUUUCUUGAACGGAACCCAGCACCUGAAUAUGGCUGAGUAUAUUUGAUUUAAUAUCGAUACUGCUUAGUGUUCUUUGUUACUUCAGCUUUUGUACGUUCUAAAUAUCUGCUGUCAUUAAUUGCAACAGAAGUUAAACCCUACCCAAUGGAAUGACGCUAAACAACGACUUUGGGGCAGAGUUACCAACUGGAUAAUCUCAAAGCUAAAAUAAUGGCCGUGCUUUCCACAUGUUACAGUAGAAGAUACUCUAGAAUUGUACAAGGUUAAAAAAGGUAACAUGUAGUUUGUCCCAAGGUGUCUGCCUCCUCACCCAGAGCAGGACCUCCACCUCCUCACCCGGAGCAGGACCUCCACCUCCUCACCCGGAGCCGGGAGCCGGAGCCAGACCUCCACCUCCUGUCAGAAGUCCUCCAGAAUGCAGCACUGGACCAGAGGACCAAGAAUCCAUAUCUGGAAGAGCCGUGCUGAAGGCCCUGCCUGGUGGAGGAGCUGAUGGAGGCCCUGCCAGGUGAAGGACGUCUGUCGUGGGACCAGGACUCUGUCUGAGCAGAGCUGCUGGAGGAGCUGAGACGCUGGAGGACGACUAGGAAUCGACCAACAAGGAUUCCUAAACGUGUGUCUGAAGCGGAGGCGAGCUGGUAGGGGAGCCGUGAAUCUGGAGGAUGACCAUCACUCUACCAACAAGGAUUGCCUUAGGGCCAGACUGGUGCUGUUUGUUCCAGACCAGGACUCUGGCUGAGGAGAGCUGAUGGAGGAGCCAAGACUCUGGAGGACGACAUCACUCUACCAACCAGGAUCCUCGAAUCUGGAGGACUGAUGGAGAAGCCGUACAUCUGGAAGGCAAGUCCUGAGGACAACCAGGACUCUACCAUCAAGGAUUCCUCAUAAGUUUGCAUUAUCUGGACAUGGUGGAUUAGGCAGACACACCUGAGCUGAACCUCAACUGUUUGGUCGGGGGCAGACAAACCUGAGCUGAACCUGACAUCCUGCUGGUCCCGUCUCCUCAGUUCAUCUUCGCCUCGUCCUCCAGAAGACCUGCUGAGCUCAGCAGUCUGAGGCUGAUGGAUCAAUGACCUCCAGUGGGAGUGAUCUUCUUGACCACACAUGUAACCGUGUGCUUCCACACGCCUUUCCUUCACGUCUGUCACUAACCUCACUACUUCACUACUCUCUACUGCUUCCUCUUCUUCUUCCUUCUCUGUGGUUCGAACCUUUACACUGAAGGCGCGUCUUCCUGCCCUCAGAGGGUUCAGCGUUAGGGUUGAGAGUCAGGGUUUAGAGUCAGGGACAGAGCUGGUCAGGGGAGGACUGCUUUUACACAAACCUCUGCACUUGCUUUCGGAAUGGUGAUGACAUUUUGAAAAGAUUCUUUUGGGAAAAUGUUUCCUAUUCCAUUUACAAUUGUAUUCAACUUCUGUCAAGUGCUUUCGUUUGCAUAUUAAAAUCCCACAUUGACUUCUAUAUAUUUGGUGCGGUUCAUUUAUUUGUCCUUUUAACUUGGUUAAUGUCAAGCUAAACUCCUGCAAUACAUUUAAUAUACAUGAUUGUUAUUCAGCAAUGUUCACAGCAUCCAUUUUGUAAAAACAUGAAACCUACAUAUUACUACUAAAUUUAAGCCUAUUCAUGCAUUUAAUAAUGUACAUACCGCCCCGCAGGCCAUUCUCUGGUGCUACAACACGUU